rnacentral:tRNA from 1 species
GCGUCAGUGGUGGAACGGUAGACACGCUACCUUGAGGGGGUAGUGCCAAUAGGUGUGGAGGUUCAAAUCCUCUCUGACGCACCA